UCAUUUCGUUAUUUUUUAAUUUCUCUAACGACGACUACGACGAAGAAAAUCGGCGACGAUGUUGCGUUCGUGCUACAGGCCGCUUGAGAGGUGUUUUGGGAGGCGACCUGGUGUUGGUGUUGGUGGUGGUGGUGGUGAUGGGUUGAUGUGGCAUACGGAUUUGAAAUCGCACGCUUCCGGUGACUAUUCGAUUGCCGUUGUUCAAGCUAACUCUAAUCUUGAGGAUCAGAGCCAAGUGUUUACGUUUCCUUCCGCAACUUAUGUUGGGGUUUAUGAUGGCCAUGGUGGUCCUGAGGCUUCUAGAUUCGUUAACAAGCAUUUGUUCCCUUUCAUGCAUAGUAAUUCCUCUCUCUCUCUCUGUCAUCUUUUUCUUUUUAUGUCAUAAAGAAGGCAUUUAAUGCCACUGAGGAGGAAUUUUGUCAUUUAGUGAAGCGAUCAUUGCCAAUGAAACCGCAAAUUGCUUCUGUUGGAUCAUGUUGUCUAGUUGGAGCAAUCACAAAUGAUCUCUUAUAUGUUGCAAAUUUAGGGGAUUCGAGAGCAGUUCUUGGGCGGAGAGUUUGCAAGGAUAAGAAAAAACCAGUAGUAGCAGAGCGGUUAUCAACUGAUCACAAUGUUUGUGUUGAGGAGGUUAGGAAGGAAGUUGAGGCUCUUCAUCCUGAUGAUUCACAUGUUGUGGUGUAUACUCGUGGAGUUUGGAGAAUUAAGGGCAUAAUUCAGGUAUCAAGAUCUAUUGGUGAUGUUUAUCUGAAGAAACCUGAAUUUAACAGAGACCCAGUGUUUCAGCAAUUUGGAAACCCUAUUCCUUUAAAACGGCCUGUAAUGACAGCAGAACCCUCAAUACUCAUUAGAGAGCUCAGACCUCAGGACUUGUUCCUGAUCUUUGCUUCAGA
rnacentral:misc_RNA from 1 species